CCCAGGGAGUCCCAGGUGUUCCCAUUCUGUGAUCAGGAAAGAACACAGACAUCCAACUAUGGAGUUUGUGCUUGGCUGGGUUUUCCUUGUUGCUGUUUUAAAAGGUGUCCAGUGUGAGGUGCAGCUGGUGGAGUCUGGGGGAGGCCUGGCGAAGCCUGGGGGCUCCCUGAGACUCUCCUGUGCAGCCUCUGGAUUUGACUUCAGUAACUACUGGAUGUACUGGUUCCGCCAGGCUCCAGAGAAGGGCCUGGAGUGGGUCUCAUAUAUUAGUAGUGGUGGAAGUAGCACAAGCUAUGCAGACUCCGUGAAGGGCCGAUUCACCAUCUCCAGGGACAAUGCCAGGAACACGCUCUCUCUGCAGAUGAACAACCUGAGAGUCGAGGACGUGGCCAUGUAUUUCUGUGCGAAAGACACAGUGAAGGGACGUCAGUUGACUAAAGAGUGGCCUGAGGAGAAUAUUACCCCCAACAAUCAACAUGGACAGACCUCAGCCUGCAGCACAGCACGCAUCAAUGGGAGGUGA